GGCUGGCCAAAGCAAGAACAAAGGAAGAAAAAGGAAGAACAAGAACCCUAGGGUGAAAAUUCAAGAGAAAAUUGGUGGAUUUCAAGUAAUCAAGCAAUCAAAGGUAAAAUUUCUUGAUUUUGACUUGUGAUCUACCUUUCCCAUGCAUUAUUUUGCAUUUUCCAUGGUUGAAUCACAAGAUAUCAUGAAGGAUAGUGUGCUGAUCAAACCCUAGGAAAGAGGUUUUGAUGCUUGAUUUAGUUAGAUUUCAAUGUAUUUUAGUGUUUUUAGUUGAUUGGUGAUAUGUAGCAUGAAAAUCAAACAAGAAAAAUUCAUGUUCUCCCAUCACCCAUCAUUGGCCAAAUUCUCCAUGUAGAAUAUUGAUGAUGAUUUUGAUUUUAUUUCAAGUGAUUUGGUUAGGAAUUAAUGAUUUAUGGUGUGAGAAUCAAGUAGGAAAAAUUAUAGUGUUGACACACCCACCAUGGCCAAAUUUCUCAAGAGAAAAUGUGAGAAUGAUUUUACCAUAUCUCAAGUUAUUUAAUUUGUGUUUGAUGAUUUGAAGUAUUGGGAGAAAAAUAAAAUUAUUUGGAGUUGAAUUGGAUGUAUUGGCCAAUUAAUCGAGUGAUAGAUCGAAUUAGGCCAAUACCGUUUAAUUUAGGUACACAAUUGAAUUUGUGUAAAACACCAUGUUUAGACAAUAAUCCGAACAAUUUGCAUCCCAUUUCAUACAUUAGUAUAAAGCCUGAAUUGGUUUUAUAACAAUUUAGUACAAUGUAGUGAAUGGCUUAUUAUGCAUUAUGUGUAGGUGGUGAGCAUUCUGGCAAAAGUAAAGAGAUAGUACCCGAGGAUCAAGAAUCGGAAUACUUGGAAUUCAACUCCCGAAAUAGUGAGUAACCCUAUCAUCAUCUUAAUUAUCUAAAGUAUGCUUUAUUCGAUUCUGUGAAUUUUAUGGAAAAUGAAUUAAAUGAUUAAUUUUUUGAUUUUAUAAACAAAAUGUGAUUUAAUGAAAUGAUUUUAUAAAAUUGUUUUUAAAAUUGAAUGAUGGUUUGAAAAUAGAGUAAUUGGAGAUUGUUUUUGUGUGUUGUAAAUUCAUGAUUCUAAUUGAUUGGCUUAUGGCAAUAUUGGCAUGAAUGGUUGAUUUGAUAAAUGUGUUGGAAAUGUAUAAAUUGUUGAUCUGCCUAGAAAGGCUGUAAAAUAAAAUAAUUGUCAUGUCAUGCUAUUGCAAAUUUUAUUGUAUGAUGGGUUUAGCUUGCUGUAGUGGGUGGGUUUUCUGUGGAUCAGCCUAUUGGAGGGGCAUGAAAUCUCGUUAUAUUUUACUUCGGUUGGAGAGGCGAGUAGGGUAACUCCCGAGGUAUAACUUUAGAGUUUCACUCCACGCAAAACCACCACGUGAGGGUGAACUCAGCCAACGCCAAGGAAUGGCUAUAUUUUCAAAAUAAAAACAUGAUUUAUGCGUACAUAACUUUUUAACAGGUUUGGCAGACUCGGUUGGGAUAGCCCUCGAUCAAGGCAUCCCUGAUAACUGGGUAUGAGAAUGAUUUUGGCACGAGCCAAAGUUUUAAGAAAUUCAUAAGCCAUGUUGAUUACUCGAUUUAUAUGAAUUGAUUUUAUUUGGUUGAAACAAGUUGAAAGGUGAUGAAUUAUAGUAUGUUAAACUAUUUUAUCUAUCUCCAUUCACUCGGCUUUAGAUAUUUUAGAUGGUAUUUGUUUACUCACUGGGAUUAUAUAAUCUCACCACUCUCCUUUCCACCCAUUCAGGCUCAGAAUAGGCUGUAGAUAGCUGAUUUCAUCGAGGUUACCAUUGGAUUUGCAUCCUCCAAACUGUAGGUUCACAGUCUUCCUUACUUUUAGUUAUUCGAGGGCCCACUGGUUACUGUAAAUUAAAUUAAAUACUCUGGCUUACUGUAUUACAGUAUGUAUGAAUUUAUUUUGCUUUUACGCUGCUACAAAAAUUAUUUACGUAUAACUCUUAAAAUAUUGUUUUAUAAGAAAAUA
rnacentral:lncRNA from 1 species